rnacentral:rRNA from 1 species
AUGUUCAGAUCAGAGCAUAUGCAGGGUAUUACCGAUGCAGUAGGUGAUGGGUGUGUAGAUGGCGACGUUGUUGGAAAGAGGACCAUUGUGCCCUCCAGUCACAUGGGUGGUCGUCGUUAUUUUAAUGAGAACUUCCAUGAUGGCAUUGCCAUUUGUCAGGUGCAUGGUGCACCAGACGUGUUUACCACUUUCACUUGUAAUCCCAAGUGGCCCGAGAUCACCGCUGCAUUAGAGCCAGGGCAGGCGCCUUCUGAUAGGGCAAAUGUUGUUGUUAGGGUCUAUCACAUGAAGCUUGCCGAGUACUUGGAUGAGAUCAAGUCAGGCCGGGCUUUUGGCCCCAUUAAAGCUGUCCUAUAUACUGUUGAGUUCUAG